CUUCGACUAUUGUUUUUGUACUCGAGUUGCAUAUCUAAUUCAAACUGUGUUUUGUAAUUUUUGGUGAUAAACUUCUUCCAGACUCCUUCCCUUACAAGGAACUCUUGAAUGGGAUCCUAUGAGAAGUUGAAGGAAAGAUCUUAUUCCAGUGAUUAAUAUCCGCUUGAGUAACCCAAUCUGAGUCUGAUUUUUUUCGUUAACAAUUCAGGUGUUUAUUUUGGAUGGUCCGGAGUUUUUGGCUGCAACUAUGUUGGACAGAGAUAUGCUUGCUAUGGCUGGAAAUUGGUACCAUGUCGGUUGGUUUUGCUUGGCAAGAUUUGUGACGAUGCGUCGGACAAACAACAUUGGAAUAAGAUACAGCCUUGAGCCUUGGCAAGUUAACACAUUAGUUAGGGUUAUGAAGUUUUUCAUGGCACCGACACAUUAUUGAGCAGUAGCGCAUCAGAUGACCAGUGUAUAUCUCUACUUGAGGAAUUCUCUAAAGUUCCAGAGCCGAUUGUUUCAUAGAGCUGUGAAGUUGCUCUAAACAUACUGGAUUUUGAACGAUCCGGCAAACCAUUCGAGUACAUCUUUAUGUAGGCACCUCAAUUGCAGGAGGCAGCAUGAUGGUUUCACUUUGUUGUGUGUUUUGUUACCAUUGAGUACUAAAUGGCAUACAUUUGGAUAGAGUUUUGAAUGAUUUACUCAACAGUAUUAUUUGAAUGUUU